rnacentral:lncRNA from 1 species
GCUAGUGCCAAUAAGAAGAUUAAGGAAUUAGAGCGCCGCUAAGUUAUCUAGAUUAGACCUUGAGGCAAUGCAUCUUAGUUAUUUAUCUUUAAAUUCGGUUUAGAUUUACUAUUAUCGUCGGUUUGCUACUAUUACUGUCAGUUUUCUACUAGUCUUUUGUAAUAAAUGCCUCAAGAUUAAUAAAGAGUAUUAUUAUUAUUACUAUUAUGUCUUGUGUAUCUCUACUUUAUCCUUGUGCAAGAAAGCAGAAAACAAGUAUGGGGAGAUCCCUCGACAUGCCAAACAC